CAAAAAUACAUAAAAUUAUACCUACCAUAGAUGGCGAUGUUAUAUCAUUUGUGAAUUCGGUAUGUUAUAUGUAUGAUAGCUGAUUUUUUGCGCUAACUACGUACAUAGUUUUUGUACUGUGCCAUCUAUCCGUGAGAAUGCCAAACUUUCAAGACUUUUCGAAUAUUACAAGCUAUGUGUCUCAAUUACGAAAAAAUAUAUUCAUGUUGGAAAUUUUGUACCCGUAGGAAAUGUUUUAGGAUAUGCAUUUGUUAUGGCGAGUCAAUGACUGACGAAUGAUGAGCCUGUAAUAUUAAACGAAUCGUUAUCUAAAUUAUUACAUAAUUAAAAGUCAUAGUUUAUUUCAUAAUUAUUAGUUUUAGUUUUAUCAUCAUCUGUUUUCACCAAGAAAGAAA
rnacentral:sRNA from 1 species